ACAACAGUACAUAAUGUAAUGGCUGCAAUAAACAUUCAUUGCUGUCGGUGGGUUGUAGUUUAGAAAAGCUCAUUGAUCAAUGAAUGCAAACUGCAGACCACUCCACAAAGGUGCAGCAGG
rnacentral:pre_miRNA from 14 species